UUUCUUAGUAUCGUAGUAUACGUAAAUUUAUGUUUUGCGAAAUUCUUUGUAUGGGGUUUUUUUUCCUUGGACAUACAAAGAAGAAUGGCCUGCAAGCGAAAUUGUUAAUUCCUAUUGGCAAAUGGUAUAUAUGCUUUAAGAAGAAAUUCUCUCGCAAAUACAGGCUUUUAUAGUAAGAGGAUUGUGACAGUAUUUUGUCUAAUGAACAGGAGUUGGAUGCGGGAUUCGAGCGUGGCCUUCUAAACUCCAACUCCGGCAGAACCAAUGGAUAACAUCGAAGACUUCAUAACUGUGUGCCUUUCUCAAUGUAAAUUAUUAAUCGGCUAAUUUCAGCUUUCUGAAAGAAAUGACAGAUCGAUUCUGAAGAUACGGGAUUAAAAUUAAUUGAAGUACAUCGAACUUUAGCUGAAUUUUGAAAUCCUUUGACAGACAUGCAGAACUUGAUAGGAAAAAGCACGAAUUCCUCUUCGAUAAAUAAAACUUGAAUCUUGAAAUUAUCCUGUUACUGACCAGCCAAGCUUGUGAAUAGAAGUUUUAAAUAAUGGACAUAAAUCAACUUGCUGAGCUUAAUCACCUGGAAAAAGGCUUGUCCUUGAUAUCCACUGAUAGUCUUCUCCAAGAGUCAACUACGCAGCAUGCUCCAAAUUUGAAAUUUUUGCACUUUUGUGUUUGUCCCUUCUUCGAAAGAAGCGGCUGGAGAUUUAAUUAGAUGCUCAUCUGUAUUGAACGGUACUUUUUUUUAUUUUUUUUUUGUGUUAAAUAUAUUGAAAUAUUCUGAGGAGUAGUUUACCAACCAUCUCGCUUUAAAAGCUUUAAAAAGCUAAAAAUUGUUGAAGCGGGAGUUUACUUUGUAACAUCGUAUAAGGUGUGUGAAUUGUUGUGCGUUUUAUUAAGAGAACUUGUACCGAAAUAUCUGUGUGAAUAUUUGUUGACUUCUAAGAAAUCCCUUGCAUUAUGGUUAUUAAAAAAUGUUUUCAUGUAACUUGAAUUAAGCAUUCUAAGUACAUUUUAGUCUUGAAUCAUAAAUUUAAAGUUCGAACUAGAAUUUAUAUUCAAGUCGUCAAAUAAUUCAGAAAUUUUCGGCUUUUGUCUACAAAUUCGGAUAACCUAAAUGAUCAGUUUACACUAAAUGGUGAAUAUUCGGAAGCAUUUCUCAAUAGUAGUCCUCUUCACGGAUUCAAACCGACCAUUGAUUGAGAGACACCAAAUUGUGCCGCAUAGCAUAUUUCUUAAUUGAUAAUUGAUGGCAUUUCACAUGUUGAUUUUGAGUUUGCCUUCUGAUGCAUUCAAUACACAAUGAAAUCUGUCACCCAUAAAAUCAACAUUAACGGUAGUAGCAUUUGCUCAUUUAGAGAGUUGAAUGUAAAUAGUUUGGUUUUGUUUUUUAAUUGUAUUUGCUGAAAUUUCCCAUUCUCAUGUUCGAAAAGGCCAACGAGUUUGAGAGAUUGGUUAGAAAUCCACUUUAAAACAAAGAUGUGAAGUCAAAAUUCAUCCAAUUAAGUUAAAUAACAAAACAUCUAAAUGACAGAUAAGACCAAUAGGAAGGUCUCGGCUACUAUGAAGAAAACAGUUUAGCUUUGCAAGCCAGUAAUUCCACCUCGAAAAGUAUUAAUGAGUGUGUGAUUAAAGUUUUUAAAGUAGCUGUAUACUAAUAAUAAACGCUGCUCUGCUAGUUAUCUUCAAAUAUCAGUUCCAGCAAGGGACAUUUAAGAUUAUUUUCUUCCUCCAAUGUUAGGUGCUAAGUUGAGCUUUAUACAACUAAGUUGGGAUAUAGGGAGAAAACUAAGGCGCUUUGUUGGGUAAUCGGAAGGGUCAACAAACGCGUUUGCUUCUACUUUUAAGAAAAACGAGCAAUACUUUAGUCCGCAAGCCUACUAACCCUUUCUAAUACAAUUAAAACAUAUUAGCUGUUUUUUACUUCAUCGCAAAUUUCCGCAAGUUAUUACUUUUGGGAAUGUUUACACCUCGGACUGCAAUACUUUAUUAGAAUAGGCCAAUUGCUGCAGGAUAGUUUCUACGCAAGUGUAUAAGGAAAUGGGAAACGAAGAAUGAAUUGGAUGUAGGGAUAGGCAGGCAAGUUGGAGGGUGGGCCAGCCGGCUGGCGAGAGGGAGGGAAUGUUAAGUAGCAGUUAUUGGAGUUUCGCAAAGAGCCUGGCUUGCAUUCUCAACAUUGGAGAAUAUGGGAGAAUAUCUAAAAUGAACCUCUGGAACUUUUUAGUAUUGUUCUGAUCUGGAUUCAUCGAUGAAAGGCAGUGUCUUGCAUGUAUUAGAACAUUUCAGUACGAUAAAAUAGGCACACGAAAAACUAAAAAAUCAACCAACCAACAAAGAAAGGCUUUAAAGACUUCUAUUCAAAGAACAUUUUUACAAGACUUGGAACAGACUUUCAUAAUUAGAGCCUAUAGACAGAUGUAAUUGAAUUUCAAUUACGUGAAUGUUGCUUUUUGUGAAAUUUAAAUGCGUUUAAUUUCAUUUUUUAAAUCUUAAAAUUUAUAGCCAAAGAGCAUUAUAGAAUAACAUUCUCAAGAUUUGCCUCUGUACUACGAUUAAACCAUACUAGGCAAAAAUGCCAAAAUCAAUCUUCAAUUCCCUUGGUAUUUGAAAAUGUAAUUUCGCUGAUCCAUAUUUGGUUGUUGCACUCGGCUCGUCUGUUCAUUCGAAGCAGAAGCAAAAGGCUUGUACAUGGAACCGAGAAUAGCUAUUAUAUUCACUUUAUAGGGAAAUCAUCAAUAAAUAAACUUUUCAAAUUAGAAAGUCGAUAUUGACUUCAUACUUGUAAGGUUUAAUAAAAACAAGCCACGAAAAACGGGCCAUGAAUAUUUGUCCCUAAAAAUGCCAACGUCAGAAGCUUGGAAUCUGAAGUAAAAUUUGUUAAUUUACUUUUAUGAUCCAAGCUUCUUUAACACUUUUAAAAUGAAGUCUUUAAGAAUCUAACAGGCUAAUUGAUGGUUAAAUGGUUGGUAACUACUCCAGUUCAACAUCUAGUGUAAAUAUUAAGAGCAGAGAUAAGGAUAGAAUUUUAAGUUUAAAUCUAUAGGAUUUGCUUCAAGUUUUUAAGCUGUGAUAUAAUUUCAUUUUUCUUGGUGUUACUGAUUGAAUUAUUAUCAAUUUCGAAUACGAAUUAAGUCAUGCUGUCAUUUUUGUGCAAUUAAGUGAACUGUGCUUAUACCAUGCAGUAGAUUAAGUAUAACUGAAGUGUUCAUGUACAUUACAUGUAAUAUAAAAUCAAAUUGAAGAGAAUGUGUUCUUACUAUUAAUAUUGUUUAAAUUAGUAUAGAGGCUGGGUGACU